rnacentral:rRNA from 1 species
UACGUAGGGUGCGAGCGUUAAUCGGAAUUAUUGGGCGUAAAGGGCUCGUAGGCGGUUUGUCGCGUCGGGAGUGAAAAUCCAGGGCUUAACUCUGGACUGGCUUCCGAUACGGGCAGACUAGAGGUAUGCAGGGGAGAACGGAAUUCCUGGUGUAGCGGUGAAAUGCGCAGAUAUCAGGAGGAACACCGGUGGCGAAGGCGGUUCUCUGGGCAUUACCUGACGCUGAGGAGCGAAAGUGUGGGGAGCGAACAGG